rnacentral:rRNA from 1 species
ACCAAGGCGAUGAUGCAUAGCCGAGUUGAGAGACUGAUCGGCCACAUUGGGACUGAGACACGGCCCAAACUCCUACGGGAGGCAGCAGUAGGGAAUCUUCCACAAUGGACGCAAGUCUGAUGGAGCAACGCCGCGUGAGUGAAGAAGGUUUUCGGAUCGUAAAGCUCUGUUGUUGGUGAAGAAGGAUAGAGGUAGUAACUGGCCUUUAUUUGACGGUAAUCAACCAGAAAGUCACGGCUAACUACGUGCCAGCAGCCGCGGUAAUACGUAGGUGGCAAGCGUUGUCCGGAUUUAUUGGGCGUAAAGCGAGCGCAGGCGGAAGAAUAAGUCUGAUGUGAAAGCCCUCGGCUUAACCGAGGAACUGCAUCGGAAACUGUUUUUCUUGAGUGCAGAAGAGGAGAGUGGAACUCCAUGUGUAGCGGUGGAAUGCGUAGAUAUAUGGAAGAACACCAGUGGCGAAGGCGGCUCUCUGGUCUGCAACUGACGCUGAGGCUCGAAAGCAUGGGUAGCGAACAGGAUUAGAUACCCUGGUAGUCCAUGCCGUAAACGAUGAGUGCUAAGUGUUGGGAGGUUUCCGCCUCUCAGUGCUGCAGCUAACGCA